GAUGAACGCUGGCGGCGUGCUUAACACAUGCAAGUCGAACGGAAAGGCCCAAGCUUUCUUGGUUACUCGAUUGGCGAACGGGUGAGUAACACGUGUGUGAUCUGCCCUUCACUUCGUGAUAUGCCUGGGAAACUGGGUCUAAUACCGGAUAUGACCUCUUCUUGGAUGUUGUGCUGUAAAGUUUUCUCGGUGUGGUAUGAGGUCGCGGACUAUCAGCUUGUUGUUGGGGUAUUGGCCUACCAAGGCGUAGACGGGUAGCCGGCCUGAGAGAGUGUACGGCCACAUUGGGACUGGGAUACGGGCAAGAGUAGUAAGGGAGGCAGAAGUGGGGAAUAUUGCACAAUGGGAGGACGCCUGAGGGAGCGACGCCGCGUGGGGGAUGAAGGCCUUCGGGUUGUAAACACAUUUCGCUAGGGAAGAAGCGUUUUUGUGACGGUACCUGGAGAAGAAGCACCGGCUAACUACGUG
rnacentral:rRNA from 1 species